rnacentral:rRNA from 1 species
GGAAGUAAAAGUCGUAACAAGGUUUCCGUAGGUGAACCUGCGGAAGGAUCAUUAACCUUUCAAAUCAGGGUGCGGCGCGGCCCCCGAGGAGCGGAAACAAUCCUUGGGAGGUAUGCGGGGGCUUCGAGCCCCCCAUUUACGCACGCACGACUGCCAUCCUUACUUUACGAGCACCUUCUGUUCUCCCUCGGCGGGGCAACCUGCCGUUGGAACCGAAUAAACUCUUUUUGCAUCUAGCAUUACCUGUUCCGAAACAAACAAUCGUUACAACUUUCAACAAUGGAUCUCUUGGCUCUGGCAUCGAUGAAGAACGCAGCGAAAUGCGAUAAGUAGUGUGAAUUGCAGAAUUCAGUGAAUCAUCGAAUCUUUGAACGCACAUUGCGCCCCUCGGUAUUCCGUGGGGCAUGCCUGUUCGAGCGUCAUCUACACCCUCAAGCUCUGCUUGGUGUUGGGCGUCUGUCCCGCCUCCGCGCGUGGACUCGCCCCAAAUUCAUUGGCAGCGGUCCUUGCCUCCUCUCGCGCAGCACAUUGCGCUUCUCGAGGGGCUACGGCUCGCGUCCAACAAGCACAUUUACCGUCUUUGACCUCGGAUCAGGUAGGGAUACCCGCUGAACUUAAGCAUAUCAAUAAGCGGAGGA